UACAGAGGGUGCAAGCGUUAAUCGGAAUUACUGGGCGUAAAGCGCGCGUAGGCGGCUUUGCAAGUCGGGUGUGAAAUCCCCAGGCUUAACCUGGGAACUGCAUUCGAGACUGCAUGGCUAGAGUAUGGGAGAGGGAAGUGGAAUUUCAGGUGUAGCGGUGAAAUGCGUAGAUAUCUGAAGGAACAUCAGUGGCGAAAGCGACUUCCUGGACCAAUACUGACGCUCAUGUGCGAAAGCGUGGGGAGCAAACAGG
rnacentral:rRNA from 1 species